AUGGGUGCAUACAAGUACAUCCUGGAGCUAUGGAGAAAGAAGCAGUCUGAUGUCAUGCGCUUUCUUCUGAGGGUCCGCUGCUGGCAGUACCGCCAGCUAUCUGCUCUCCACAGGGCUCCCCGCCCCACCCGGCCUGAUAAAGUGCACCGACUGGGCUACAAACAAGGCCAUGGUGGCUGAAAACGCCCAGUUCCUAAGGGUGCAACUUACAGCAAGCCUGUCCAUCAUGGUGUUAACCAGCUAAAGUUUGCUCGAAGCCUUCAGUCCGUUGCAGAGGAGCGAGCUGGACGCCACCAUGGGGCUCUGAGCGUCCUGAAUUCUUACAGGGUUGGUGAAGAUUCCACAUAAAAAUUUUCUGAGGUUGUCCUCAUUGAUCCAUUCCAUAAAGCUAUCAGAAGAAAUCCUGACACCCAAUGGAUCAUCAAACCACUCCACAAGCACAGGGAGAUGCGUGGGCUGACAUCUGAAGGCUGAAAGAGCCCUGGGCUUGGAAAGGGCCAUAAGUUCCACCACACUGUUGGUGGUUCUCGCCGGGCAGCUUAGAGAAGGCGCAAUACUCUCCAGCUCCACCGUUACCG
rnacentral:lncRNA from 1 species